rnacentral:rRNA from 1 species
CAGUCGAACGAACCCUUCGGGGUUAGUGGCGCACGGGUGCGUAACGCGUGGGAACCUGCCUUUAGGUUCGGAAUAACAGUUAGAAAUGACUGCUAAUACCGGAUGAUGUCUUCGGACCAAAGAUUUAUCGCCUUUAGAUGGGCCCGCGUUGGAUUAGAUAGUUGGUGGGGUAACGGCCUACCAAGUCGACGAUCCAUAGCUGGUCUGAGAGGAUGAUCAGCCACACUGGGACUGAGACACGGCCCAGACUCCUACGGGAGGCAGCAGUGGGGAAUAUUGGACAAUGGGCGAAAGCCUGAUCCAGCAAUGCCGCGUGAGUGAUGAAGGCCUUAGGGUUGUAAAGCUCUUUUACCAGGGAUGAUAAUGACAGUACCUGGAGAAUAAGCUCCGGCUAACUCCGUGCCAGCAGCCGCGGUAAUACGGAGGGAGCUAGCGUUGUUCGGAAUUACUGGGCGUAAAGCGCGCGUAGGCGGCUUUUCAAGUCAGGGGUGAAAUCCCGGGGCUCAACCCCGGAACUGCCCUUG